ensembl:lncRNA
UGUAUUCUUAUAUAUAUAUUCACACACAUACACACACAUAUAUAUACAUAUACAAUAUAGUUUUUAAUCUAUUUCACUUCUUACAACAGUUUGUUAACAGUAGAGUAUGAGUCAUUACCUCAAUUGAACAGAUAAAGAAAAUGAGGAACAAAUGAUUAUUUCAGUCUGAAAAUUAGCAGUGUGAAGUGGUAGCAUAAAUAACAUUGAAUUUGCAGUUAGAAUGACUGGAUUCAAAUCGCAAGUUUAUUGCUACCUGUUAGAACUAUUUUGGCCAAGUUGCUUCCCUGAGAUUCAGCUUUUUCUUCUGUAAAAUGGGGACAGUUAUACUUGCAUCAUUUACUUCAUAUGAUUAGAGUUAGAAAAAUGCUUCAAAAAUCAUAAAGCCUUAUAGAAAUGUGAAUUGCUCCUCAUAGUCCUGAGGUAAGAGUCUUGCACCAAAGUUCAUUAUUCUAAUCUCAGCUUCGUGUUCUGGGAAGGGACAACCUCUCCAGGCUUGGCCGUUCCAAUCCCUAGAAGUUUAAGCCACACAAAACAUCUGGGCACAAAGACCUUCAGGAAAGGGUCCACAGAGCAGGUUUUCCCUCUAGGCUCCUUGGCCCAUACCCAGUAACAUCUUGGAAAUGUGCCCGGACUCCUUGAUAGAGAGUGUCUUAGAGUGUUAUUUCCCAACCUGGGAAGGCACAGUGAUACAGCCGAAACCAAAGUAGAGUUUAUGUCAAAGAGUCUGGAUUUAAAUCCUGAUUUUUUUUUUGAAGCUGUGGGACAUUGGAUAAGUCCCCUUACAUCCUCUGAGAUUUAGUGUUUUGAUUAUUUAAAAAAAAAAAAAAAGGAGGAGACAAUUGACUAGAUAUUUAAGUUCCAUCUAGUUUUAGAACAGAUGAAGCAGGCGAGCAGUUCCCCUUCCUUGCCUGGAAGGACGAAACUAGGGGCUGGUCCCUUCCUUCCCCAGCAUGGCCCUACUGGGCCCAGGCCUAGGACAAUGCCCACUAUUUAUUCAGUGACUGGUUUCUGUUUGAAAAGUGAGUCUAAUCUCAGGCAAUCACAAACCCGGCCAUGCGUGCAAUUACAAAGGUCUGAUCGCACAUUCAGGAGCCCAAACUACCAACAAGUUGGGGGCAUCAGAUUACCCCUGGGGAUGGGCUGCAGGGAGUCUGGGGCCAAAAUCUUCACCUACAGCUGGGCUGGAGAAGGGAGGAGUGGUAUGGUUUUAAUCUCUCCCCAAGAUUACAGUUCAAUACCUGAUCUGUGCCCACUCCCCUGGAGGCCUCUUUGUUGGGCAGAUCUCAUUACAGGAAGAACAGCUGGGGUGGGGGUGCUGAUGGGGUCCAGGAGGGCUGGGAACAAACUUUUUAGGGAGGAUUUGGCUCUGGGCCUUCCUGCCUCACUUCGAGAACUCUGGGAUUUGGAACUGAAGCAGACCUCAGCACAUAGAAUGUCAGAUAUGGAAGGCAUCUUAAAUGUCACUUAGUCCAAUCCCCUCAUGUGUGUGCACGCUCACACAUGUGCACAGGUUUUAUAUCACAUAUAUCCACAAUGCAUGUACACACAUGUACCAAACACAUGCACCCAUACUCCAUCUGCAAAGGCAAUGAGAGAGGUGGCUGGAACACUGCGCUGGGAAUUUGGGAAAUCUCAGUUCAGACCCUACUUGGCAGCUAUGUGACUGGGAUCAAGUCCCUUUGCCUCUCAGAACUUCAAUUUCCUCCUUUUAAAAAGGAUAAUAAUAGUAUCUACCUCAUAGAAUUGUUGACCUAAAACACAUGCAAAUUAUGUAUACACAUAUAUAGAAUAUGAUUUCCCCUAAGUCAGUGUUAAUAGCUCAAUAGCUAGUUUAAAACAACUCUAAGACUUUGGGGAAAUCAUUUUCUGUGUUUCUGUCUCUGUCUAUCUGACUCUCUGUAAUUGUGUAAUUUGGCUUAUAUAUGGACCAAAAGUGUUAAUAGCUUAAAGCUGCACUAAGAAUUUGGGGACAUUCUCUCUCUAUAUCUAAGUAUGCAUUUCUCUGUAUCCAUAUAUUUAUAAGCUAUCUAUCUAUCUAAUCAUUUCUCUAUCUACCAUUCAAAUUUUAUUCUAUAUUAAUAUCUUUUGGGGAGCUUGGGUACCAAACUAAAUUAGUGGCUGCUUCCCAGACUCAACAUGCUUUCUGUCUGUCUGUCUGUCUGUCUAUCUUAUAUAUUUAUGUAGUAUAUAUGCAACAUGUGAAUAUAUCAUCUUUUUCUGUCUCUUUCAUCUCCUCUUCCUUCUUGUCUUCUCUCUGUCCCUGUCUCUAUCUUUUUGACUUUCUGUGUGUACCUCUUUUCUUUCUCUUUAUUCUCCCUUCCCCUUUCUCUCCCCCUCUCUUUUUCUCUUUCCUUUUUUCUCCUCCUCUUUUUCUUCCCCUCCCUCUUCUUUUCCCUCUUCCUCUUCUUUUUCCUCCUCUUCUUCCUCCUUCUUCUUUUCCUCUUUCUCCUCCCUCCUCUUCCUUCUCCUCCUCUUCCCUCUUGCUUCUCUCAUCUGUGGUUUUAUUAUUUUGUUAUAUAAAAUUUCUUAAUUAAACCUCCCCCUCUCUAAUCAAUGAAGCCAUACAGCUGUUUAUCAGCUUCCAUAAGGGCUUUGACCUGCGCGAUUACACAGCCAUUUUGGGUCAGAGCUAAGCUUGAACCCAGGUCUCCUUGACUCUGAGGCUGCCUUACCACCCAUUUUAGUAUUCAGCCUCUCAUUUAAUAUUACUAUGUUAAAAUAAUAAUCCAUGUUGCCUGAUCAAAUCAUUUCAUCUCUCUGAGCCUUAGUUUCUUCACUCAUAAAAUGAAAGCAUUGAAUUGAGUUCUUUCUCAACUUCCUUUCAGCUUUAAAUUUUCUUAUCCUAUAACCCCGAACUAAUACUUUUCCUAUUUUGAAUUUCAGUUCUCUCACCUGAAAAAUGCUGUUGUUUAGUCAAGUCUGACUCUUUAUGGCCCCAUUUGGGUUUUUCUUAGCAAAGAUGCUGGAGUGGUUUGCCAUUUCCUUCUCCAACUCAUUUUACAGAUGAGGAAACUAAGGCAAAUAGGGUUAAAUGACUUUCCCAGAAUCACACAGAAUUUGAGUUCAAGUGAUCCUAGCAUUCUAUGCAUUGUGCAACAUUUAUAGUUGCUGACCUAUAAUUAAUAAGACUUCAAAAUUAUUUAUUAAUUCUAGACUUAGUAAACAUGAACAAAAAUUUAAAUAUGUGAAAUAAAUUCUGUGAGCCCUUUCUCCCAGCUGUUUGAAGUUUACCAAAAAAAAUACAUGAAUGCUAACAAAAUAACAAGCAGAAGUUUGUAAGUAUGUUAACAUUAACAAAAUAACAUACAGAAGUUCCUGAGUUAAUGAUAACAAAAUAACAAAAAGAAGUUCCUCUUUGAUUCUAAGUUGCUGUCUAAACUUUUUCUUUUCUGUAUUUUGUUUUGGUAGUUAUUAUUUGGUAAUAAUAAAUAAUAAAUCUAAAGCAGGUUGCUCAAUGGAUAAUAGCACUAGAUUUGACCUGUAUUCAAAUCUUGUAUUAUUAGCUCUGUGACUUUGGAGAAACGAUUUAACCUCUCCUUGCUUCAGUUUUCUCAUUUGUAAAAUGGGCCUAAUAGAACUUACCUCAUAAGGUUAUUGAGGGGAUCAAAUGAGAUAACAUAUGUAAAGCACUUUGCAAAACCCUAAAUUCUAUAUUUAGUAAUAGUAAUAGCUAGUAUUUCUAUAGCGCCUUGAGAUUUUCAAAGCAGUUUCAAAAUAUCAUCUCAUUUGAUUCUCACAAUAACCCCCCAGGGAAAGAGGAAGAAAGGAUACUAUUAUUAGCUCCAUUUUAUAGGUGAAAAAAACAGAUAGAUGGAUGAUAGGGACAAGGUCAUACUUCCAGUAAAUAUCUGAAACUAGAUUUUGAUUUCUUCUUGAUUUCAGAGAUAGCACCCUGUCUAUUGUACCAUCUAAAUGUUGUUCUUCCUUGUUUUUCAAAGAAGAUCAAUGACAACAGGGGAUGAUGUCUUGACUUGCCCACGAAUUUGAUUUAAGUGAGGCAGAUUGCACAAAGUCAUCAGCUUCACUCUCUCCUUCAGAGUCAUUGAAAUCCAGUGGCAAAACAAAAGUCAGGAUGACUGCUGAUGGCCAAGAGUACAGUGGGUGGUCUUAGUAUCUUCCAUAUCUGAUUCUAUCCAUUGUACCAUCUAGCUGCCUAAACCACAGCAAUGUGAAUGCCAGCUAUGAUUAUUAUUGAUUAUUAUUUUUUUCCCACAGGGUUGUUGUAAGGCUCAAGUGUGAUAAAAAAUGUAAAUAACUUGUUAGCCAUGAAUCAUUAUAGAAAUAUUAGUUAUUAAUAUUAUGAUUAUAUUCCAUAUUACCUUUCUAGUGUCCUGCACAUGACCUUGUGUGUGUGUAUAUAUAUAUAUAUAUAUAUAUAUACACAUACAAAUGAACAUUGAGUUUACUGCAUUCAUUAAAAGAUUCUUUUACAUCUUUUAUUUCAUUUGAUCCUCACAGUAAUCCUGAGAGGUAGCAAGACGGGCAUUAUUCUCCAUGGUUUCAGAUAAAGAAAAUGAGACCCAUGAAGUUUAAAUAACUUGCCUAAGAUGAUACAAUAAAUUAGUGAUAGAGUUGGGACAGGAUGUCUGUCAAGUUUCUUGAUUCCCAGUCAUCUAAUCAUAGAGUUGAAGAUCAACCUAGAGGUUGUUCCAUCAUUUAAAAGCCUAGUUUUCAUCAAGGCUCAUCUCAAAUGCUUCCUCCUAUACUUAGUCUUUCCUGAUUCCCUAAGCUGCAAGUACUCUUAACUCCCAAAAUGGUCUUGCAUUUAUUUUGUAUAGACUUUGUUGGAUUGUUGAUGGAUGAAUCUACUCAAACUAUCUAUCCAGAACAAGGCUCUUCUAUAACGAAGUAGCUAACCAGUCUUUACUAGAAUCUGUGAGAGGAUCAGCCCAUUCCUCUUUGGAACAGUUCUAGUUGCCAGGAAGUUUUCCCAUACGUCUAGCUGAAAUUUGCCUCUCUGCUAGUUACACCUAUUAUUCCUAGUUCUCCCUUACCUGGACUAAGCAGACCAAGUAUAAUUCUUCUUCCAUAGGAUAGUCAGUCAAAUACUUGAAACCUAUUAUGUCUUCUCCAGGCUUAAGGUUCCACUUUCCUUCAAAGGAUUCUCCUAUAACAUAGUUUCCAAGACCUUCACAAUCCUAGGGGUCACUCUCCUUGGACAAGCUCAUCUAUAAGGGCCCUUCCUACCAUAUUAGCAACAGUUCCCCAAUUCUACUAACACAACCUAUAGCCUUUUUUCCCCUACUCCUUGGCCUUUCUUUAUCUCCUACAUUUAUGAGUAUGAUUCUUUGGUUAUAAGGUGUAAUGACUGAUAAUAUCUUAAUAUAAACAGUCUUUGAGGAAAUGGCAUUUUAACUGGGUAGUCCAAACCAUCAAUUUUCUAAUGAAGAGAUAGUAUGAGAUAGCAGAAAAAGCAAAAUAGAAAGAGAUGAGAGACUUGGGCUCUGCUCCUAAGUCUUUCUGAAAUCUUGGGCUAUCUCUGAACCUGUUACCUCAUCUGUACAAUGAGAGUGAUGGACUUGACCAAUGGUUCUUUUUUUUGGGGGGGGGUUUAUUUAAUAGCCUUUUAUUUACA